GAUGAACGCUGGCGGCGUGCCUAAUACAUGCCAGUCGAGCGAACAGAUAAGGAGCUUGCUCCUUUGACGUUAGCGGCGGACGGGUGAGUAACACGUGGGUAACCUACCUAUAAGACUGGAAUAACUCCGGGAAACCGGGGCUAAUGCCGGAUAACAUUUAGAACCGCAUGGUUCUAAAGUGAAAGAUGGUUUUGCUAUCACUUAUAGAUGGACCCGCGCCGUAUUAGCUAGUUGGUAAGGUAACGGCUUACCAAGGCAACGAUACGUAGCCGACCUGAGAGGGUGAUCGGCCACACUGGAACAGAGACACGGUCCAGACUCCUACUGGAGGCAGCAGUAGGGAAUCUUCCGCAAUGGGCGAAAGCCUGACGGAGCAACGCCGCGUGAGUGAUGAAGGUCUUCGGAUCGUAAAACUCUGUUAUUAGGGAAGAACAAAUGUGUAAGUAACUGUGCACGUCUUGACGGUACCUAAUCAGAAAGCCACGGCUAACUACGUG
rnacentral:rRNA from 1 species